rnacentral:miRNA from 1 species
AUUUAACGCAAUUCACUGGAUG